UGGUAAACAGUUUGUUAGCAAUACUUUGAAACAACUGUUUACUAAUUACAAGAUACCAAACGUUCAGUACUGCCCUAAGUAUACUGCUCAAGUUAAUUCUGUCGAGCGGUACAAUAAAACGAUUAUGGUUGCCGUAUCAAGCUUUAUUGAAAACGACCAUCGAUAUUGGGACCUAAAUAUUGCAAAAAUACAAUUUGCCCUAAAUAGUUCUGUGAAUGAAGUUACCAGAUUCACACCUGCAUUUCUGGUAUACGGGCGAGAACUCGUCACUUGCGGGUCUCAUUACUUGGACACAGUCGUUGCGGAAGAUUUGAUUUUCAGCCCCAGAGACGAGUAUGCCGAAAACAUAGGUGCGCUUCGUAAAAUAUUUGAAAAAGUGCAAGCCUCUCUAAUAAAAGCACACUCAAGAAAUAGUGGCUACUAUAAUUUACGUCGUAAAAACGUAGAAUUCAAUGUGGGAGACACCGUAUGGAAACGCACCUAUUACCAGAGCGACAAGGACAAUAGAUUUUCCAAAAAACUAGCACCUAAAUUCAUAAAAUGCAAAGUUGUUGCUAAAAGAUCUCCGUUGGUCUAUGAUUUAGAGGACGAACGAGGAGUAAGUUUGGGUACAUGGCAUGUCAAGGAUAUUAAACUUACAAACUAUUCUAAAUGAUUAUAUCUAAACUUAAUAAACAAAAAAAUACCUAACUAAAAUAAAACUUUCCAUAUUUACAAAACUUCCUUGCUGGGAUGGAAGUGAGAGAAAAACAUAGAAUCCCCCAGCUGCUUACUAAUUCUCGAGCAGACUGUAAGAGUCAGUCAAGAGAUUGAUGUGUAAUACCAUCUAACGCCUUAGGCCUGCCAAAAACUUAAAUCUUGAGCAUGGCAUGCGUCUUCUAAUAUCUUCUAAUAUUCUCUAAAAAUACCUUAAAUACUACUUUAUAAAAAAAAAAAAAAACAAAAAACAAAAACUACACUUACUAAAACUACCAAAACUCAUACUAAAAAAUCCAAAACUAGCCUAAAACAAUGUCUUACUUACUAAAACUACCUACCGUCUUAAAUAUAUUUACUUAUAUAUAGUAUUUCUAAUUUUUCUUUUUUACAAAAAAAAAUAUUGAAUCUCCAGGCCCUACCCCUAGGACAUUCUAAUUAUUUUAUCUUCGGCCCUACCCCGAAGAUAAGAAAAUUAUACUAUAAAAAGAAAAAAACGGUUACCUUAAAUCUCCUAUUGAUUACGUGUGAGUACUAAGCUGCGGUUAAAAGUCUAGUACUCUUUUUGAAAAGGACGCAGUCACUUAAAACUAAAUAAGAUAACUGUUUGUGUGUGAAAGGGAUGAAAGAAAGUAGGGGGUGAAUGGAAGGGUUGAAAUGAAUGUGUACCACGUAAUUUUUAGAAUGGUCAAUAGUAAGAAGGACAGACUAGGUUACAUUUUAGUCAGCGGAUUUUCUUAGCGAAAAUCCUACCCAAAAAAGGGGGGUAUGUAACGCCUGCCGCGUUUUACUACUGAGUGUAAUUGCUCUUGUUUUUCUGUUAGGAACUAUCAAAAAGUUAUCAUUGAAAACACUUAAAAACUACUGCUUAAAACUAAAAUAUUAUUACAUAAAUAAACAUAUACUAAUUAAUUUAACAAAACAUAUCUAUUUACAAAAUAAUUCCGUUAAUAUUGUACGACUUUAAUAAUUAUCACAUUGCGUAGGUAGCCGUACCUACAUUCCACAGCCGAGCCGUUACUCUUCCGGUCGGAUGUUCGACACAAUCCUUCUGCCUUUGUAGCGAGAACACCUCGAUUACUCGUAUAUUUUUUAAAUACGUUUUUUUACUAAUUUUGUCUACGAUAUAAUAAUUUAUAGUGUUGUGUUAUCCCCAUUAAUUGGGGUUCACCCUUCGAGUUCAGCAACCGCAGGACCCACUACCGGUCCUGUACUUACCUGCACCGUUUCACCCUUCGA